UUCCCAGCAACUCCUAUCCCUACCUCCUCGUGGUACUGGCCGGGGUACGAGUAACCUUGGGGAAGAUCGGGUAACCAACCCCCGGUGGGAACUUUGGUCGUAUGCUGACAGGGAAGG
rnacentral:ribozyme from 1 species